rnacentral:lncRNA from 1 species
AGAAACCUAGUUGUGAAUUUGUCAAUUAAUCAAUUUAUAUCUGAUGAUUUUAUCAAUUCAACCACAAUAAACACAACAAACAAUGCAAUAAAUAAAGGACAUUAGAUAUACGCAACAAGCCCCAAAGUAGGGGGAAAAACCACGGGAUCAAAAGAAAAAUUAGCGGAUACAAGAGUUCCUCACAAUUCUAUCGUGAAUCCACGCAACCAGAUGUCGAACUCGUUGUCGAAUCUUUGUGAACCGCUACUAUGCUACUCUUCUCAUGUCUCGAACUCUUCAACCAACUCGGAGUCCACCA